CUUUCCUAUAAUCCUACGAUUGCCGCAUCAUCACCACCACUAGAAACCGUUGCCGCCACCACCAUAGCCACCAAUUGAUGUUGCUCCACAAUAGCCACCGGCGACUGUUGCCGCCACCAUGACUGUCAUGCCUUCUCUGCACACACCAUUUGUUCGUUCAAGAGGUUGCUUCUUAAUUAUCUUAAUCAUUAAUCAGCAAUUCUAAAUCUUUAAGAUUUUGGUGCCUCCGUUGUUGCUUAGGAUACUUGGAUUUUAAAAUUGCUAUACAUUUUUUGCCUAAGUUUUUUAUUAUGGUAUGUACGAUCUUCAGUUUUCUUAGGGUUUUUUUUUUGCAUAAUGGUCUUUGACAUGACCAACCUCAUACAUAAGGAUGUUGCAACUUUGGUUUGAUAAAUAUUGAAUAAGCUCUUAGUUUUUGAAAAGUGAAAUUCCCAUAGCACUUUAUACUUUUUCAAACAUUUAGUUUUUGAAAAGGGAAUGCUUUCUCUAGCAUUUGAAGACUUAAUGAAGCAACUAUGCACACACUGUGGCACCAAGAGCAUUUAAAUCAAGGUUUGUUGGUUCCUUGGUUUUUCCCUUGAAUUUUGUGGCAACAUGCGUAUUUUUUAUUGUAUUUCUGUUAAUACAAUGUUGAAGUUAAAAAAAUAUAUAUAUAUAUUGCAUGAAUAUUCUAAGGAUUAAUUGAACUAAUGUUGGUAUGAUAUAAAUUCUUUUAGAUUUUUGGUAUCCUUAACGUGAGCUAUUCACAUCUAGAUUAGAUUUCUCUACAUUAAUUUUCAUUCAUAGAAUGUUUGUUGCAUAUUUAUAUUACAGGAUGAUAUUGGAAUAAAUAAAAGCUUAUAUGAAUUAGCUGGAAGUUAUCUGAGACAUGAAUUCUUUAAAUC
rnacentral:lncRNA from 1 species